AGCAGCCGCGGUAAUUCCAGCUCCAAUAGCGUAUAUUAAAGUUGUUGCAGUUAAAAAGCUCGUAGUUGAAUUUCGGGACCAAUUUGUUGGUCGUGCCUCGGUACGUACUGGUAUUAUUGGUUUCUCCCUUCUGAAGAACCUCGAUGCCAUUAAUUUGGUGUCGUGGGGAAUCAGGACUGUUACUUUGAAAAAAUUAGAGUGUUUAAAGCAAGCAUACGCUUGAAUACAUUAGCAUGGAAUAAUGAAAUAGGACGUUCGAUCUUAUUUUGUUGGUUUCUAAGAUUGACGUAAUGAUUAAUAGGGAUAGUUGGGGGCAUUAGUAUUCAAUUGUCAGAGGUGAAAUUCUUGGAUUUAUUGAAGACUAACUACUGCGAAAGCAUUUGCCAAGGAUGUUUUCAUUAAUCAAGAACGAAAGUUAGGGGAUCGAAGACGAUCAGAUACCGUCGUAGUCUUAACCAUAAAUUAUGCCGACUAGGGAUCGGAUGAUGUUAAUUUUUUAAUGACUCAUUCGGCGCCUUAC
rnacentral:rRNA from 1 species